GUUUUUUUUGGUAUGGGAAAAGGAUAUGUAUGGAUUUGAGCAUCUGAUGUCUUGCAUUAUUUCUCCAGUGGUGAAUGUCAAGUUAUUAGAGUAUGAACAGACUUAAUGAGUAAAUUGAGGAAGUUUGAUUAUUGGGAUAUAGAGUUGUUAAAUGUUAACAGUAUCAAAAUACCAGAAGAACUACUGAGUUGUUAAGGUUUCAGCUGAUGGUCAGGAGUACUGAAAAUCAACAAAUCAUCAAAGUAGAAGUAACACUGGUGACAAUGGUUCAAAUAAGUAUGGAUUUGGCUCACUAAGAGCCAAGCUCUAACCCUAAGGACUAGUAAUAAAUUCUUCCAUAUGGAAUAUAUGAAGAGGUGGUGCCACAUCCUUUGCUAAACUGACAAAGUAAAUUGUAACGUACUGUUAUGCAUCUGAGACAUGCAUGAAAUCAUUUGUAAAUAAGAUAAUUAAAAGGCCAUAUGAGAUACAUUGGAUGCUUCAUGGAAGAUGAAAUGACACUCAGUUGUUUUCUCUUUCCAUUAUUUGAUUAAGUAUGAAAAGGCAAAUUCCUCUGAAUUGCUUUUCUUUGUUUCUUUUU
rnacentral:misc_RNA from 1 species